GGAAGGGAAGUAGCCACUUAACUACAACUCCCGGCAUCCCAGGAGACUGGGGUGACGCACUUCCGACAGUCGGGAAGUAGGGGGGGGAGGGAAGUGGAGCUCUCGGCGGUUACGAGGAUCAAGCAGGAGGGUCGUUAACCUUGUGGCGCCGCUCAGGCCUGGCUGGCGGUGCAGGGUCGCCCUCCUUUGGCUUCGCCUCUGGGAAAGAGGUUGCUGAGGCAACCUUAGCUUCUCGUAACCGCCUAGGCGGCACUGUCUCCUGCGGGCAGCGCGGGACUGCAUUUUCGUAGUUUUCUGUCUCUUCGGAGGAGAGGGGGUCGAAGCAGUCCCUGGUGGCCACCUCGGUUACUCUCACAGCCUGGCCCAGCUGUUGUUUGGAUCAGGGCCUGAUGACGCUGCUCCUCUAGUCGUGGAACACGACAGUUUUUUGGUGGGAGGACUUCAGAGGCCAUUCGCUGUAGUCACGGAUUCUGUGUACUAACGGUUAUCAAACCCUGGUUUGUCUGAGAAUCACCUGUUUGGGGGAGGGAGCUUCUUAUAAAUGUAGAUUCCUGGCCAUUACCCAGAGAUGGAGUCACUAGGUAACUCCGGGCAUCUUAGGAUAAACUGAUAUGCAGCACGCAGGCAAGCUCUUGCGAAGUUAUUGCCCUCGGAAGUGAACUGACUUUUGACAUGAGUAGUUGGAGAAACAAGACAGAUACCAUGACUUUAAACUUCCUCUUGGACUUCCAGAGCUAAACAUGAGACUGCAGAAAUGGUGUUAGAUUGGCUACCAGAAGUCGACAACUACCAAUUGAGAGCAAUCUCUGAAGCUGACCCUCCUACAACUGUGUAAGAAGUUGCUGCAGAACUCAAUGUCUACCGUUCUAAGUUGUUUGGUGUUUGAAGCAAACUGGGAAGGUGAAAAAACUCAUUGCUUUCAGCAGACUUCAAUCAAAGGAAACAGUUCCACAAGUCUACCAAAAGCAAGACCCUUAAAAAGAAGCCUUUCUUUAUGGCUUAAAGACUCAUAUGUUUGGACGGCUCAGCAAGUUUCAGGCACAUUCUGGAAUGCACUCCUAGAAGAGAUGAUAACUGGGGAACAUUCUGGAGAAGUAAGGACAGCACUGCAGAGGGGGAAAAGAAAUCUGGUGUGGAAACAUUACUUUAACGUUUGCCUGGUCCAAACCAUGAGAAGAAUGGGUUCUGAAUUACUUUCCUCUUUUCUCUUUCUUAAAAAAAGGAAAAAGAAAAAGAAAAGAAAAAAAAGAGGGAGCUGGAAAGUAUUAUUUUAGAUUUCAGAAUAUCAGAUAUAAAGCAUUACAAUGAACCGUCAAAGAAAUAAGCCAAGCUGAGAAGUUUGAGAUUGAUGUUGGCAGUAUCACCUCUCCUCCCUAGUGAAGGGGCACUUUCUAUCUGUAUCAAAUGCUCCUUGCCCCAUGGGUGUUACUGCCUGGGAGGCAAGCCUUAUCAGAAGGAGAGAAAGCCCUGCCUCCAUUUCAUAUCUGUGGGUUCUUUUGGGUCCCCCACGGAAGUCUGGCUGUCUCCUGAGUUGCUUCUGGGUAGUCUGGGAAGGCUGCUCCUGGAAUGGCCGGCAGUAGACAGGAGAAUUGGAUUGGGUACAGUCUUGAAAAUCUUGAUUUUCUGAGAGAUUAGAAGAACUAUCUAAUUAGUUCUUCUACUCUUAAGGGAGAGUUAGGUGAAAUAUCAAAAACACUCUGGACAUGAGUUCACUGAGGCCAAGUGGUGACAGAGUGGUAAAGCACAAAGCUCUGCAAGGCAGUCACACAUGGGAAGGUUCCUGGUUCAAGUCUGGAGACCUCCCUGAGUAUGUGGGGCACAGUAUGCCAGCUGACUGAAGACUGGGGGUGGAUAGUGUUGUCGAGACCUGGUUGGAGGUACUGUUUCUCUCUUUCUCAUAGAAUAAAUACAUAAAACUUAAAACGAUAUUAUAAGUUUAUCCUUCAGGAAAAAAAGACCUCAUUGGAGACCUUGGAAACUCAUUUCAGCUAUCACAGAUGAUCAGAGUUGGGCGUGGCUUGGAAAGAUACUUGAGACAACGUUUAGCACAAAAACGCAGUUUGCAGGAAACUUGCCUCUCACCUCUGCAGUCUAGCAAGUAGG